GGCUCAGGAUGAACGUGGGCGGCGUGCCUAAUACAUGCAAGUCGCACGUGAUCCAUUAGCAAUAAUGGUGAAAGUGGCGGACGGGUGAGUAACACAUGGCUGACCUGCCCUUCAGAGGGGGACAACCACUGGAAACGGUGGCUAAUACCCCGUACGCUCGCGGAGAUUAGAGGCUCUGCGAGGAAAGCCUUCGGGCGCUGAAGGAGGGGGCUGUGGCCCAUCAGCUAGUUGGUAGGGUAAAGGCCUACCAAGGCGAGGACGGGUAGGGGGCCUGAGAGGGUGAUCCCCCACACUGGAACUGAGAGACGGUCCAGACUCCUACGGGAGGCAGCAGUAAGGGAUAUUGCGACAGUGGGCGAAAGCCUGACGCAGCAACGCCGCGUGUGGGAUGAAGGCCUUCGGGUCGUAAACCACUUUUAGGGGCGAAGAGGAAGGACGGUAGCCCCUGAAUAAGUCUCGGCUAACUACGUGCCAGCAGCCGCGGUAAAACGUAGGAGGCGAACGUUAUCCGGAUUUACUGGGUGUAAAGCGCGUGCAGGCGGACGAGUAAGUUGCUUGUGAAAGCGCCCGGCUCAACCGGGCGAGGACGAGCGAAACUGCUGGUCUGGAGGUAGGUAGAGGCGUAUGGAAUUCCGGGUGUAGUGGUGAAAUGCGUAGAGAUCCGGAGGAACACCAGUGGCGAAGGCGAUACGCUGGGCCUAACCUGACGCUAAGACGCGAAAGCAUGGGGAGCGAACGGGAUUAGAAACCCCGGUAGUCCAUGCCGUAAACGAUGUGAACUGGGUGUUGCGCGCGAAUAGCGUGCAGUGCCGAAGCCAACGCGAUAAGUUCACCACCUGGGGAGUACGGCCGCAAGGUUAAAACUCAAAGGAAUUGACGG
rnacentral:rRNA from 1 species